rnacentral:rRNA from 1 species
AACGAACGCUGGCGGCAUGCCUAACACAUGCAAGUCGAACGGCAGCACAGUAAGAACUUGCUCUCACGGGCGGCACGUGGCGGAAGGGUCAGGUAUAUAUCGGAAUCUACUCUUUCGGGGGGGAUAACGUAGGGAAACUUACGCUAAUACCGCAUAUGACCUACGGGUGUAAGCAGGGGAUCUUCUGACCUUGUGCGAUUGAAUGAGCCGAUGUCGGCUUAGCUAGUUGGCGGGGUAAAGGCCCAGCAAGGCGACGAUCCGUAGCGGGUCUGAGAGCGUGGUCAGCCACACUGGAACUGAGACUGGUUCCAGACUCCUGCGGUAAGAAGCAGUGGGGAAUAUUGGGCGAGGGGGGAGUGCCUGAUACAGCCAUACCGCGUGGGUGAUGAUGGCGUUAGGGUUGUAAAGCCCUGUUGUUGGGAGAGUAAUGCAGCAGGUUAAUACGCCGCUGUUCUGACGGUACCGGGAGAAUAAGCACCGGCUAACUUCGUG